rnacentral:rRNA from 1 species
GGGCCCGCACAAGCGGUGGAGCAUGUGGUUCAAUUCGACGCAACGCGAAGAACCUUACCCAGGCUUGAACUGCAGUUGAACGACCAUGAAAGUGGUUUUCCGCAAGGACGACUGUAGAGGUGCUGCAUGGCUGUCGUCAGCUCGUGUCGUGAGAUGUUGGGUUAAGUCCCGCAACGAGCGCAACCCUCGUCCUCUGUUGCCAUCAGGUCAAGCUGGGCACUCUGAGGAGACUGCCGGUGACAAACCGGAGGAAGGUGGGGAUGACGUCAAGUCAGCAUGGCCUUUAUGUCUGGGGCCACACACGUGCUACAAUGGCCGGUACAAACCGUCGCGAUCCCGCGAGGGGGAGCUAAUCGGAGAAAGCCGGUCUCAGUUCGGAUCGCAGGCUGCAACUCGCCUGCGUGAAGUUGGAAUCGCUAGUAAUCGCGGAUCAGCACGCCGCGGUGAAUACGUUCCCGGGCCUU